UACGUAGGGGGCGAGCGUUGUCCGGAAUUACUGGGCGUAAAGGGUGCGUAGGUGGCUAUUUAAGUUGGAUGUGAAAUCCCCGGGCUCAACCUGGGUGGUGCAUUCAAAACUGGAUGGCUAGAGUGCAGGAGAGGGAAGCGGAAUUCCUAGUGUAGCGGUGAAAUGCGUAGAUAUUAGGAGGAACACCAGUGGCGAAGGCGGCUUUCUGGACUGUAACUGACACUGAGGCACGAAAGCGUGGGGAGCAAACAGG
rnacentral:rRNA from 1 species